rnacentral:rRNA from 1 species
GUAACCUGCCCUUAACUCUGGGAUAAGCCUGGGAAACUGGGUCUAAUACCGGAUAUGACUCCUCAUCGCAUGGUGGGGGGUGGAAAGCUUUUUGUGGUUUUGGAUGGACUCGCGGCCUAUCAGCUUGUUGGUGAGGUAAUGGCUCACCAAGGCGACGACGGGUAGCCGGCCUGAGAGGGUGACCGGCCACACUGGGACUGAGACACGGCCCAGACUCCUACGGGAGGCAGCAGUGGGGAAUAUUGCACAAUGGGCGCAAGCCUGAUGCAGCGACGCCGCGUGAGGGAUGACGGCCUUCGGGUUGUAAACCUCUUUCAGUAGGGAAGAAGCGAAAGUGACGGUACCUGCAGAAGAAGCGCCGGCUAACUACGUGCCAGCAGCCGCGGUAAUACGUAGGGCGCAAGCGUUAUCCGGAAUUAUUGGGCGUAAAGAGCUCGUAGGCGGUUUGUCGCGUCUGCCGUGAAAGUCCGGGGCUCAACUCCGGAUCUGCGGUGGGUACGGGCAGACUAGAGUGAUGUAGGGGAGACUGGAAUUCCUGGUGUAGCGGUGAAAUGCGCAGAUAUCAGGAGGAACACCGAUGGCGAAGGCAGGUCUCUGG